AGGUCAUUUCAAAGAGGGCUGAUGGGACCAAAUCCAGGGCCUCUUAUCCCUGUGACCAAAGAUUGAGUUCUUCAGAGGAUGUAACAGUCACUCAUUAGUGCUAUGUUUUCCUGAUGGAGAGACAAGA
rnacentral:snoRNA from 1 species